rnacentral:rRNA from 1 species
AUUGAACGCUGGCGGCAGGCCUAACACAUGCAAGUCGAACGAGCGGCGGACGGGUGAGUAAUGUCUGGGAAACUGCCCGAUGGAGGGGGAUAACUACUGGAAACGGUAGCUAAUACCGCAUACUAUCGGAUGUGCCCAGAUGGGAUUAGCUAGUAGGUGGGGUAACGGCUCACCUAGGCGACGAUCCCUAGCUGGUCUGAGAGGAUGACCAGCCACACUGGGACUGAGACACGGCCCAGACUCCUACGGGAGGCAGCAGUGGGGAAUAUUGCACAAUGGGCGCAAGCCUGAUGCAGCCAUGCCGCGUGUAUGAAGAAGGCCUUAGGGUUGUAAAGUACUUUCAGCGGGGAGGCGUUACUCGCAGAAGAAGCACCGGCUAACUCCGUGCCAGCAGCCGCGGUAAUUC